rnacentral:snRNA from 1 species
GAUCCCGCGCAAAAUUUACUGCGAACUUGGCGCUUUCUUGAUGACGCACUGCAGGUGAGUU